rnacentral:lncRNA from 1 species
UUUUUUAAUAUAAUGUUAGAUUAAAUUCAAAAGAAAAAUAAACAUUUUUACAACUUAUGCAAACGAUUAGUUUGAAGAGAUCAUAGCCGAAAUUUUUUAUUGAAAAACAUAAGCAAAAAUCAAAGACUUAUACUCUCUUUUGAAGCCAUUGUUGGAAGCCCUCCUAGCUCGUAUCGUUUAUCUCCCAUCUGUCGGAUUGUUGAUAACUGGUUUCGGUCUUGUUUGUCUAUCCACCGGAUUAGUUGGUCUGCAGAGUUUGAAUCUUCGUCAUGUCUUCUACCAUUCCGCUCCUUCCAAACCACCGUGGCUUGGAACACAGCGAAUUAGAAAGCCCUCCACAUGAUCGAGUUUCUGGUUGGAAACAUGGUUAAGAGUUUGAUGCCAAUCAAAAGAGAACUUAUUCUUAAAGACGCCUUUAGCUAGAUGCUCUAACCUUUAGUAAGUAUCGUACGCACAUCUUUGGAGAAACUGUGUGUUGAUUAAAAAUUCAUCAAGAAAGAUUUAACAACAAUAUAUAUGUGGUUUACAAUUAUAUUUUCUCCAACGAAAUCCAGGUAAAAAAAAACAAAAAUUACAUGUAAAGGUCUAAAGAGUUAAAACUCGGUUGAUCGAGACGGAUCCACAAGCUUGAGAGUUGAGACAGUUCUGGAGAAGAAAGGAUUCGUGGUUCGUGGCAAAAAUUAUCACUUUAUACGUCCACAAAAUAAAGUGAAAAUCAAAGAGAAUCCGAGAGACAAUGCAAAUCAGACAACAUUGAUAAGGGUUAUUAAAACUCCAGAGAAAACGAAAAUGACUACUACUCGACAAUAUAAAUAUGGGAAGAUAUAGUAUAUAGUAUUUUUUUUGUCAACAACAUUAUGAACAUCUAUAUGAAUGUCCACAAUUAGCUUUUAACUACUGUAAAAGCUUUUCGUAGCAGAAAUGGUUAUUUUUUUUUCGAAUUCUCUCCGUCAUAAAAAAAAUAUCCAUAUUGAAUAAAAAAAAUAAUGUAACUAUCAAAAUUCAACUAAACUCUUUAGCCUUGUAGUGAAACCAUUUUUCAACAUGUUUUGUAAAAGAUAAAUAAUCAUUCUGUUGGAAACAGAUCUUAGAAACCAGAAUCGAGGAAGAACGAAAGUUGCAGAGCCGUAGAAAAUCUACUGCACUUGAGCGAAAAACCGCCUAAUCCCGGUGUGCAAGAUAACCAAGACGGCUCACUCCAGGGUUCACUCUGCUCUCAAUUGAAUUGUGCACUCAACUCAAAGAGAUGAAACUCUCAAACCCAUAAAUUGAAAUAAAGAGGAAGAAGAAGAUAGAAGAAGAGAGAUGUGAGUUUUUCAUCGUUCUGAUCGAAGACCAAAGUCCUUCUUAUAUAGGCACAAAUCUCAACUAUUCACGAGAGAUUUCAGCCCCCAAAUCUUACUCUCACAAUCCCACUUCUUCCUCAACGUUGCAAAGUCGGUGAGAAAAAGUUGCAGUCACGAUUUUGACUUUUUCCUUUUUAUGAAGAAAGAGAUUUUAUCAAAGCUUAAUU